UACGUAGGGUGCAAGCGUUAAUCGGAAUUACUGGGCGUAAAGCGUGCGCAGGCGGUUUUGUAAGUCUGUCGUGAAAUCCCCGGGCUUAACCUGGGAAUGGCGAUGGAGACUGCAAGGCUAGAGUUUGGCAGAGGGGGGUAGAAUUCCACGUGUAGCAGUGAAAUGCGUAGAGAUGUGGAGGAAUACCGAUGGCGAAGGCAGCCCCCUGGGUCAAGAGU
rnacentral:rRNA from 1 species